rnacentral:rRNA from 1 species
CUACUGCCGGCGACCGGCGCACGGGUGAGUAACACGUAUGAAACCUGCCCGUAGCAGGGGGAUAAGCGGAAGAAAUUCCGUCUAAUACCGCGUAACAACCCGAGGAGGCAUCUCCUCGGGUUUAAAGGAAGCGAUUCCGGCUACGGAUGGUCAUGCGUCGCAUUAGCUAGUUGGCGGGGUAACGGCCCACCAAGGCGACGAUGCGUAGGGGUUCUGAGAGGAAGGUCCCCCACAUUGGAACUGAGACACGGUCCAAACUCCUACGGAAGGCAGCAG